UAGGGAAUCUUCCGCAAUGGGCGAAAGCCUGACGGAGCAACGCCGCGUGAGUGAUGAAGGUCUUCGGAUCGUAAAACUCUGUUUUUAGGGAAGAACAAAUGUGUAAGUAACUAUGCACGUCUUGACGGUACCUAAUCAGAAAGCCACGGCUAACUACGUGCCAGCAGCCGCGGUAAUACGUAGGUGGCAAGCGUUAUCCGGAAUUAUUGGGCGUAAAGCGCGCGUAGGCGGUUUUUUAAGUCUGAUGUGAAAGCCCACGGCUCAACCGUGGAGGUUCAUUGGAGACUGGAAAGCUUGAGUGCAGAAGAGGAAAGUGGAAUUCCAUGUGGAGCGGUGAAAUGCGCAGAGAUAUGGAGGAACACCAGUGGCGAAGGCGGCUUUCUGGUCUGUAACUGACGCUGAUGUGCGAAAGCGUGGGGAUCAAACAGG
rnacentral:rRNA from 1 species